GUUUACCCGGGAACCAGCCUGCACCGCCUGGGGACGGUGGGGCGGAGAGGGGGGAGAGGCAGGACAGAGGGAGCGGGCAAGGCCAGUCGGUGCUCAAAACAGUCAAAUUCAAAUUAAAAGGUCAAGACACGAUUCAGGGAAUAUUCCCAGAGAGGAAGAGGGAACCUGCAGGCCCUGCGCUGGUUUUGUGGGAGUCACGUAUCACACGGGGAAACCAGGACAGCACAGGCGACAACAUCCGACCCAGAGAAGUGUCCCUUCCAGGGCGAGUGAGCUGCGGCUGCUGCUGGUUGCGUUUGCAUUUUUGAGCGGAGAAGAGGAACCAGCCUGUUUUUGAAACGGAAUCUGGAAAAUAACUUGCCUUUCCGGUCGCCCCGCAUUUUCCCCGGGACGAAGCCUGGGGUUUCCAUUUUCCAAAGGGCCGGAGCCUGGCGGGGAGAGGCCCUGGGCUCAGGGCGCCCUGGCGCGGGUGGAGGAGUGCGGAGGCCCGAUCGCUCCUAGAGGAGGCCCAAGCCCGCGGCGGCUAGAAAAGGACCUCGGCAGGAAACCCGCCGGCCUCGCUCAUCCCGGGGGCAGGAGAGGAGGCACCGGGGGUCCCCGGACCCGGGAAUCCUGGAAGAAGACGAGUACCGUGGGACUCGCUUGCAGGGCCGGCCAGGGGAGCUCAGAAAUGGUUUUGUGUUUUCAUUUGCAGGGGUUGCCGCGGGCUCGGCACAGGGGUGGGCCGGGGCAAGGUUAGGCUGUUUAGGCCCCAGACAAGCCCUGGGACAGCCCGGGCGGCAGUCAAUCCAGGGAGCCAUUUGUCCCACCCCGCGGGAAACGGCGGAGACUUUAUGGCCACUCUGUUUGUAUUAUCUGCAUAAGUCUUUCCCCACCAGUUUGAUCGAAACUGUUCGCUUUUACGAGGACCCAACGAAAAUUCCCCGUCAUAUUUAUCAGCCGGGGAUAAAAAUUUAGUAUGGGAACUGAUAUUUCCUCAUUUAUGGGGCGAUGAAAUUAAAGACCAAAGCAAUUGAGAAUUAUAUGGCUUUGGGGGGUUCCCUCCCCCCCUCUUUCACAUCUCCUUUAUUUUGCCGCCUGGCGUGCCUGUCCGUGGAGUUUGGCGUCGCAGUCCCCUGCCCUUGCCCCCUGUUUGGGGGUCUGCUGGGCCCUCUCCUCCACACCCAGGUACCGCUUGGCCAACCCUAGCUUCUCCUGGCUUUUCUCUCCGUGUCAAGAGCUGGGGGCUGGGACAGAGCUCCCGGAGCCCCUGCCGGGCCAGGAUGGGGUCUGGUUGGGGUGGUGGAAGGCUGCCAGGAGCCUCGCAGGGGAAGGAUCCGAGCCCAGCCCGGGAGGGGGCGAGGGAGGUGGCGGAGGGCGAAGAAGACAAACUCCAGAUUACCUCUCAAACCAGCAAGCCCCAAGACCGGACCUGGGGAGCCAACUGGAGAGGAGCAGAGUCGCUCGCCUCGGGACCUGCCUCUCCCUACCAGCCCGACCCCCAUCCCAAACUCACCCCUCGCCUCAGCCCUGGGAGGGGUUGGGGCCGCUUCAGAAUUCCUGCCGUUCUCCACGGGAAUCAUCCCCCCCGGGGAGAGGGAGCCUCCCGCCUUGGCUCUCACCUCCUCACAAGAACGAAUAGUGUUUAAAGUUGAAAUAAUUAGAAGUAUGAUAAACACGGCCCAUUAAUGAAAAAAGGAAUCAAAUUCAUCAGCCUAAGUGGGACCCCCGGUGGGACAAAUGUUUGCCUCUAAUUACGCAGGAUAAACGCAACCCCCGAGCUGUUAAACGAGACCCCGAGCGGGGCGGGCCGACGCAGACUUGCCUCACU